AAGAAGAAGAAGAAGAAGAUGAUAUCGAUCCCGACGAGCUAUCCUAUGAAGAACUGAUUGCUCUAGGGGAGUCCGUAGGAGAAGAAAGGAGAGGACUAACCUUGGAAGAAAUCAGCAAGUGCUUGCGUCCAUGCAAGAAUGAAUUUACAGAGAAGAGAUCAAGCGAGAUAGAUAGGUGUGUGAUUUGUCAAGUGGAAUAUGAAGAAGGUGAUGAAUCUUUGGUACUUCUUCCUUGUAGCCAUCCUUACCAUUCUGAAUGCAUAACCAAUUGGCUUCAAAUCAAGAAGAUUUGCCCAGUUUGCACCUCUGAAGUUUCUUCACCCCAGAAUUAAUAUUUGUUAGGGAAGUUAUAAUUGUUUGAUUAAUUGGACACAUGUUGUACAUUUCUAUCCCAUAAACAUUAAUUCAUUUGUAAUUAAUUUGAACUUACUAUUAUUUGCUUAUUUUUAAUAGGUUUGUACAUUAUUU
rnacentral:misc_RNA from 1 species